UUUCCAUAUAAAGUUUAUAUAAACAUCAAACAAAUUUGGCUGAGAGUGGUUGAUUUCUAUAUUUACACAGCGCUGCAAGUUGGCAUCAGAUGUCAUGCAGAUUAUCUCAGCUGGCUGGUUCUCCUUCACAUCCUAUAAUUCAUAAUCUGGUAAGAGCUGUGAUGUGAAAAAAUGUACAGUACCAAUUCUUUUUCUUGGUGAGACUUUACAGCCAAGGUGGAGAAGGGCAGGCCCAACCACUGCAGCGGCCGACUUCCACCAAGGCAGCAUGCCGCGGCUCCAUGGCACACUGUUGUUCUGCCUCAGCUCCUCCUCCCUCAUGGCCUAUCUCCUCUGCAGCCGUCCAAGGCAUUGCUGCCUCCCGUGCGCCUCGCCGGCUGCCCAUCUGCUCGCCCCACCGCGGCCCUCGCACCAUGGAGCUUCUCGAGCUUCUCCGGCUGCCCAAUGGCGCCUCCCCAACCCCUGCCAUGGUACCGCAGCACCAGCAGCCCCGA
rnacentral:rRNA from 1 species